GACAAGCCCAAAGGAAAGCGGAGUGUCCUGUGUGCCACAUGGAACUCGGGGAAAGGAAAUGAUUAAAGCCGUGAGGUUUCCUGGCUCUUCGUGGUGUUUACGCUCCAUGCCGUGUCCAUCACACUCAACUGAUAUUCACCUUGUUGCAGCAGGAAAUGAACCUCAACACAGUAGGAAUCAUCACUCAAUCACAUCAGGACAUUAUUCACUCAGUGAUGGUGGGUAUUGUGGUUUGGAUGUGAAACAUUCCCUGAAGCUGAUAUGUUUGAACAGCUUGUGCUUUGCAGUUGGACGUACUGCUUUGAAAGUACUGAGGGAUGGAGUCCAUGGCCUUAUUCUUGUUACGCUAUGGAAGUAAAGUGGACAUUUAAAUUGCUCACUCCUUCUGGCUGUUGUGACCAAUGCUCUGGUGAACAUUGACUUUGUUCACAUGCUUGCUUUCAAGAGGGCUAGCACAGAAGUGGAGCUGCUGGAGCCUGUGCCUUAGGUUUGCAAUACAUCCAUUCAAAGCAGAAGGAAAUAUAUUAGUGAAACGAAUACAGUGAUGAGUGGAAAUCCUACCUGGAGCACUGGGCUGAUCUGACCAUCUGCAUGUCACUGACUGUGACUUGUCAGGUCUUGGGAUGUCACAUGACUUCAUGUAACUCCAUUGAGAACCCGGUCACACCGUGGAGCCUGGACUGACCUUGAACUAGAAUCCUCAUCCUCAUGAGCAUGCUCAUGUGUAUCUGGUUCAUUCUUCUUUAGACAAUAUCCCUCUCACCAGAUGAAAACUACCAUCAAUAUCCAUCAAUUACCUAAUUAAAAAUCUUAAAUACACG
rnacentral:lncRNA from 1 species